GAUGAACGCUGGCGGCGUGCCUAAUACAUGCCAGUCGAGCGAACGGACGAGAAGCUUGCUUCUCUGAUGUUAGCGGCGGACGGGUGAGUAACACGUGGAUAACCUACCUAUAAGACUGGGAUAACUUCGGGAAACCGGAGCUAAUACCGGAUAAUAUUUUGAACCGCAUGGUUCAAAAGUGAAAGACGGUCUUGCUGUCACUUAUAGAUGGAUCCGCGCUGCAUUAGCUAGUUGGUAAGGUAACGGCUUACCAAGGCAACGAUGCAUAGCCGACCUGAGAGGGUGAUCGGCCACACUGGAACUGAGACACGGUCCAGACUCCUACGGGAGGCAGCAGUAGGGAAUCUUCCGCAAUGGGCGAAAGCCUGACGGAGCGACGCCGCGUGAGUGAUGAAGGUCUUCGGAUCGUAAAACUCUGUUAUUAGGGAAGAACAUAUGUGUAAGUAACUGUGCACAUCUUGACGGUACCUAAUCAGAAAGCCACGGCUAACUACGUG
rnacentral:rRNA from 1 species